CUUUCAAAACUUGCCCUACUUUUUCAAGCUCAGUGAGUGACGGCAGUGACGCGUUGUUCAGUGUAUACUUGACAUUCUUCCUGAAGCUUGCCUGAAAAAUCCAAUUAUCCAGGUGUGCAGUACACGACAUUGGAACUUCAAAGACAUCAAAAGGUUUUCUUCUAAUUAAAGUGUUAACCUUUUCACGACUUUGCGGGCAAGUUAUUGUUAUUGUUGUAUCUUCAGUAGUUGAAUAACCCCACCUCCUAUGGCCUAGAUAUACAGUUUGUUGGCCAAGCCUAGGUGACACAUGAGUCGUGCACUGGGUGCGACUACGGGCCUCGUCCUUAACAAACAAAGACAUUGCACACCCGGGUUCCCUGUGUUUCCGAUUAAUAGCGCUACUUAUCGGACAAAUUAAAGCCGGUGACAUUAAACAACGAAAUGCAUCGUCUGCUGAUAACUCUACAAAGGCUUGUCUAUCAGUUGCUACGGCAAGAAAUGGUAGAAGAGGAUAAAAUUGUGCACCUUGUGUGGCAUUUUCUAUAGGGCGCGGCAAACUGAUUACUUUAUAGAGUGUAAAACGAAAAGGAAACUCAAAAACAGACAUCGCCCUUCUGGAUGGAUGGACUCAAGGACCAUCCUGACGGCAGCACCGAUUUAAUUUCUUUCAGGGCGGCUUAAACUUGCAGCGGGGGAAAAAGGGUAGCUGGUAGACGUUCCAUAGCCAUAACAGCCAAUCCAACGGCAAAGUUAUCCAACACCUCUUCGAUCCAUCCCACGGCGGACCCAAUUUGACGGAACGCAUCUCCAACUUUCGUGGCCUCUCGUUCAAUUUUUGCAAAAGCAAUCUGUAGCUCGGCUACGGCGUCGCCACUUGCCUUAGUCUCCCACAGCGUCUCGUUAAUGAGAGAAGCAUGAACUUCCAGGGCAUGCACAAUGGAUGUUGUCUCCGUCGAAAGCUUAUUGAUCCGGCCGUUCACGUGUUCGAGAUCUUCUUGGGUAGAGACCCCAAAAAGCCAGUUAAGAAGUCGACCUCCUCCAUCCACUAGGCCACGUUUCACUCUGGAGUCUUGCACACCGACGGCUGUUUUUAGUUCAUUCCAGCGCUGAUGAACCUUCCGCAAUUUCAACAAUUCUUCUUGUGCCCGUUCUUUCACAUGUUAUUGCAAUGCCUGUUUAAACUGUGAUUUAACUCCGUCGUAGUGAUCGGACAUGGCAUUCACUCGAAUGUCUAACCACUCGUAUAACGAUUUUACCACUUGGUCCACUGGAUCAAACGUAAAAUCUGUCACUACGACCCACUCCGAGUCGGAAAAGGCUAAGUCUCCUUCCGACUUGAAGAUCACCCCUUGAUAGGCGACGAUCUCGCUGGCAGCUACCGGACCCGGACCAGACAUUACGGUAAGCAAAAACCUCAACGGGAAAGCAAGUAAGAAUGUUUUCCUCGGUGCCCGUAUUCUCGUAGAGCGUCGAAGGCCGACGCCUUCGGGUGCGAUGGCUGUAGCAUGUGACGGCCCAUCACGUGCAGCGGGAGUGUCAGCCGGAGAGUUCCGGUUUACUCCUCUCGGUUCAGGUCCACGGACUCCUUAUGAGCUCCCAACGGCAGCUUCUCGUUCCGUCGGCGGAAUGCUAACGCAAUCGACGAACGGUUUCAUACGUUCCACAUGAACGAUUUCAGUUUUAACCGUUCGUCCCAGCCUUAGCUCGUAAUUACUAGGAGUGGUCUGUCGUACGACCGUGUACGGUCCCAACCAACGAUGCAAAAGCUUCUCAGAUUUCCCUACCUUUCUGAUAGGCUUGUAGAUCAGUACCUCUUCUCCAGGUAGAUAUGUCGUCGCCUCCCUCCGGCCCUCGUCGUAAACUUUUUUCUGCUUCCACUGCACAGCAGCAGCGCGAGCCUGCACUUCCAAUCGGGCCUGUUGAAGACGUUCCACCGCCCAUUCGGACGGAUCCCGGUUAGGUGGAGGUACCAAAUUCGGAUCCGCGUUCAGAGCGCCAUCGAUGGGGAGAACAGCUUCCCUUCCAUACACCAGGUAGAAUGGAGUUCGUCCCGUACUUUCAUGACGGCUGGUGUUGUAAGCGAACGUUACGAAAGGUAACGACUCGUCCCAAUCCUUAUGGUCGGAGCUAACAUACAUGGACAGCAUGUCAGCUAGGGUGUGGUUCAACCUUUCCACCAAACCAUUUGCCUGGGGACGAUAAGCCGUUGUCGUACGAUGGUUCGUCUCCAGGGCCUGCAACACCUUUUGAGUUACCUCAGCGGUGAAGCAACGUCCCUGGUCGGUCGUCAACUGGAGUGGAGCUCCAUGUCUUAACAACACAAAUUUCACCAAGAAAUCUGCUACCUCCGACGCAUCUGCUGAAGGUAGAGCUCGAGUCUCCGCCCACUUGGUGACGUAAUCUACGGCUACCACAAUACUUUUAUUCCCUCUCUUGGACAAUGGAAAAGGUCCCAGAAUAUCCAUUCCCAGUCUCUCGAAUGGACGUUCACUUCUUUGAAUUUCCAUAAACCCCGCUGGUCGCUGGUAGACUGGUUUUCGGGACUGGCACUCCCGACACGCCCGCACAAAAUUACGCACAUCCUCGGCCAAGGCCCACCAGUAGUAUCUACCCCUCACUUUGUCAAGAGUACGAGUGACACCUAGGUGGCCGGCAGUAAUGUCAUAAUGGCAAGAGCGCAUUACCUCGUUUUUAAAGGAUUGAGGCACACAUAGCCUUAGUAGGAGGCCGUCGUCAACGACCUUGGUCUGGAACAGCAGACCGUCCUUAAGGCGAUACUGGCUGUAUUUUCUUCCUUUCUCCAGACCCGCGAAGACUUGGUCCCACUCCACUUGCUGCGCUUGCUGAAACUCACUCUUACUUUCAUUGUCAAUACUGAAGGCAGCUAGAGUACAAUACAGCUGUUCGUCGAGCUCCUGCGGUGCGUCGACCGGAUAGCGGGAAAACGCAUCUGCAUCCGUAUGAAGUCUUCCAUUUCGGUGUAUGAUCCGUAGUAGGAAUUCCUGUAGCUGCAGACUCCAGCGAGCUAAACGUCCGGCUAGAUCCUUCUUGGUGAGUAGCCAACACAGAGCGUGAUGAUCAGUCACCACCAAAGUAUCCAUUCCCCAUAUGUAAGACCGAAACUUCUUCACGGCCCAAACCAAAGCGAGACACUCUUUCUCCGUGAUCGAGUAAUUCGACUCACUUGGAGACAAGAGGCGACUCGCGUAGGCCAGGGGCCUCUCAAUGUUAUUUACGCGUUGUAGUAACACCGCUCCUAAACCGUAGUCACAGGCGUCAGGGUGUAUCUCGAACGGCCUUGUAAAAUCGGGAUAGGCUAAAGUGGCCGCACUCACUAGCGCCUGCUUCAUCAGCUCAAAGCUGACUUCUUGAGACUCUUCCCACACGAAGCAACCAACCUUUUUAAACAUGUCCGUCAGGGGUUUGGCUGUGUGUGCAAACUGAGGAAUGAACCGGCGAUAAUACGAGCAAAGCCCCACAAAGCUACAUACGCACUUCAACUGUUCACUUGGCUUACACAGGGUCGACGGAGAAGGGAAGUUUGCGACCGCAUUAAUUUUUUCUGGGUCAGGCCUAACUCCAUCCCCACUAAUGACGUGGCUCAAAGCCUUUACUUCGCUGGCCCCAAACUGACACUUCACCAACUUAAUUUUCAACCCGGCCUUCCGCAGGGCGGUCAACACUUGUCGCACUCGCACCAAGUGUUCCUCCACGUCAGCCACGUAGAUGAUGAUGUCGUCCAGGUAAACGAGGCAAAUCGUCCAUCUCAGCCCGGUUAAAACCAAAUCCAUCAUGCGUUGGAACGUCCCCGGUGCGGAGGCCAACCCGAAGGGCAUAACAAGAAACUGAUAAAGUCCGUCGGGGGUGACAAACGCCGUCUUGACUUUAUCCUCUUCGUUUAGUGGUACCUGCCAGUACCCACUCUCCAGAUCCAGCGUCGAGAAGAUGCUAGCGUUCCCCAUCCGAGACAGCGUCUCUUCGAUCCUCGGCAACGGGUAAACAUCUUUUACGGAUAUGGCGUUGAGGCGGCGAUAGUCCACACAAAAACGCCAACUUCCAUCCUUUUUCUUCACUAAGACCACAGGUGAUGCCCACGGGCUAGUUGAACGUUCAAUUACACUUCUGCUCAGCA
rnacentral:lncRNA from 1 species